CGGGGAUUAAAUUAAAGAACUAAUAGAAAAAUAAAUAGAAAAAAAAAAGAGAAACUGAAAAAGUUAAAAAGGUAAUGACAUCAUGUGGUGACAUAAGCAUGAUGCCAUAAAUAUUAUAAUUAAAAUUUAUUUAAUUUAGAUAAAUUUUGGUCUUCCUAAGAGAUAAACUCAUAAAAGAAAAAAAAAGAAAAGAGAAGAAAAAAAAAAACACUUAUCUUCUUCAAGUGGCCGUCCCUCUCUCCAUCUCAUCUCCAUGGUUGUCCUCCAUUGAAGCUUGCACUCAAGCUUUUGUUCCCUCACUUAACCUUAAUUUCUACCACAAUUUUUUCAUAAAACCUUACUACCCUCACUUGAGAAGGAGAUUUAGCAAAGAAAGAAGGAAGAAAAAGAGGAGAUUGAAGAAGGGAACAUCCAAAUUAAGUGGAAAGGAACACCGAGAAAGAACCCGAGGAAUCGAGUCAAGGCCAAGAUGCGACUCGCUUAAGAUAUAGAGACUAGAAGAGCAGCAGAGUGAGCUGCUGAGGACAGAGAAGCUAUCGAGUAUAAUUUAUACCCUGACUGUAAAUAUUUAUUUUGAUGUAUGUAAUACACGUAAAUGUAUGGACAUGUAAAAUUGGUCUGGAGCAGCUUGUAUAAAGCUUGUAUAAAGUU